rnacentral:rRNA from 1 species
CCUACGGGUGGCUGCAGUGGGGAAUAUUGGACAAUGGGGGCCACCCUGAUCCAGCCAUGCCGCGUGUGUGAAUAAUGCCCUCGGGUGGUAAAGCACUUUCAGUGAGGAAGAACGCCUGGUGGUUAAUACCCAUCAGGAAAGACAGCACUCACAGAAGAAGCACCGGCUAACUCCGUGCCAGCAGCCGCGGUAAUACGGAGGGUGCGAGCGUUAAUCGGAAUUACUGGGCGUAAAGCGCGCGUAGGUGGCUUGAUAAGCCGGUUGUGAAAGCCCCGGGCUCAACCUGGGAACGGCAUCAGGAACUGUCAAGCUAGAGUGCAGGAGAGGAAGGUAGAAUUCCCGGUGUAGCGGUGAAAUGCGUAGAGAUCGGGAGGAAUACCAGUGGCGAAGGCGGCCUUCUGGACUGACACUGACACUGAGGUGCGAAAGCGUGGGUAGCAAACAGGAUUAGAUACCCCAGUAGUC